rnacentral:rRNA from 1 species
GAUGAACGCUGGCGGCGUGCCUAAUACAUGCAAGUCGAGCGAACAGAUGAGGAGCUUGCUCCUCUGACGUUAGUGGCGGACGGGUGAGUAACACGUGGAUAACCUACCUAUAAGACUGGGAUAACUUCGGGAAACCGGAGCUAAUACCGGAUAAUAUAUUGAACCGCAUGGUUCAAUAGUGAAAGACGGUUUUGCUGUCACUUAUAGAUGGAUCCGCGCCGCAUUAGCUAGUUGGUAAGGUAACGGCUUACCAAGGCGACGAUGCGUAGCCGACCUGAGAGGGUGAUCGGCCACACUGGAACUGAGACACGGUCCAGACUCCUACGGGAGGCAGCAGUAGGGAAUCUUCCGCAAUGGGCGAAAGCCUGACGGAGCAACGCCGCGUGAGUGAUGAAGGUCUUCGGAUCGUAAAACUCUGUUAUUAGGGAAGAACAAAUGUGUAAGUAACUAUGCACGUCUUGACGGUACCUAAUCAGAAAGCCACGGCUAACUACGUG